AAUCCCACCAAGAUGGACUCGGGUUGAUUAACGUGAGUGAACCUCUGAGGACCAGAAUCCAGACUAGUAAUUCUCCAUCCCGGCUGCUCGUUAGAUGCCCGGACCGACCCCCCCAGACCAAUUCAAUCAGAACAUUCGGAGGGGCUUGUAAAAUCUCCCGGGGAGAUUCCGGUACGAAAGCCAAAGACUCAGACGCCCGUUCUCCACCCGCCUGCAGCGGCCAGCGCGGGUCCCUCUUAGGGAAUUGAAUGCAGGCCCCAGGCCUCCUCCUCGAGUAUCCCAGUGUGACCGAUGGCCAGCUCACAAACGCGCAGUGGGUGCGGCCGCGCCAGGGCGCAGCGGAGCAGAGGGCCCGGCCGCUUUCGGCCUGGGAAAGAGGAGCCACGGCCCGGAGAGGCGUCAGUGCUGGGCUGCGCCUGCGGAGGUCCUCGCAAUUGCUGGACUCAACCGCGCGCGCCCCCUACCGGUCCUGCGAAGGAGCCGCAGCCGCCGCGGGAGGCCACAGGAAAUAAUCUGACAGCUCUACCUAGUGCUAUCUACAAUAUUUUUUCACUGAAGGAGAUAAAUUUUGAUGACAACCCUUUGCUGAGACCUCCAGUGGAAAUCUGUAAAGGAAAACAGUUGUAUACUAUUGCACGCUAUCUACAGAGGGCAGAUGAAAGAGAUGAAAAGUCCUCCAUACAUUUUCUCCCCAAUUCCAUUCCUUGGGCAUGCCAUAGCAUUUGGGAAAAGUCCAAUUGAAUUUCUAGAAAAUGCAUAUGAGAAGUAUGGACCUGUAUUUAGUUUUACCAUGGUAGGCAAGACAUUUACUUACCUUCUGGGGAGUGAUGCUGCUGCACUGCUUUUUAAUAGUAAAAAUGAAGACCUGAAUGCAGAAGAUGUCUACAGUCGCCUGACAACACCUGUGUUUGGGAAGGGAGUUGCAUACGAUGUGCCUAAUCCAGUUUUCUUGGAGCAGAAGAAAAUGUUAAAAAGUGGCCUUAACAUAGCCCACUUUAAACAGCAUGUUUCUAUAAUUGAAAAAGAAACAAAGGAAUACUUUGAGAGUUGGGGAGAAAGUGGAGAAAAAAAUGUGUUUGAAGCUCUUUCUGAGCUCAUAAUUUUAACAGCUAGCCAUUGUUUGCAUGGAAAGGAAAUCAGAAGUCAACUCAAUGAAAAGGUAGCACAGCUGUAUGCAGAUUUGGAUGGAGGUUUCAGCCAUGCAGCCUGGCUCUUACCAGGUUGGCUGCCUUUGCCUAGUUUCAGACGCAGGGACAGAGCUCAUCGGGAAAUCAAGGAUAUUUUCUAUAAGGCAAUCCAGAAACGCAGACAGUCUCAAGAAAAAAUUGAUGACAUUCUCCAAACUUUACUAGAUGCUACAUACAAGGAUGGGCGUCCUUUGACUGAUGAUGAAGUAGCAGGGAUGCUUAUUGGAUUACUCUUGGCAGGGCAGCAUACAUCCUCAACUACUAGUGCUUGGAUGGGCUUCUUUUUGGCCAGAGACAAAACACUUCAAAAAAAAUGUUAUUUAGAACAGAAAACAGUCUGUGGAGAGAAUCUGCCUCCUUUAACUUAUGACCAGCUCAAGGAUCUAAAUUUACUUGAUCGCUGUAUAAAAGAAACAUUAAGACUUAGACCUCCUAUAAUGAUCAUGAUGAGAAUGGCCAGAACUCCUCAGACUGUGGCAGGGUAUACCAUUCCUCCAGGACAUCAGGUGUGUGUUUCUCCCACUGUCAAUCAAAGACUUAAAGACUCAUGGGUAGAACGCCUGGACUUUAAUCCUGAUCGCUACUUACAGGAUAACCCAGCAUCAGGGGAAAAGUUUGCCUAUGUGCCAUUUGGAGCUGGGCGUCAUCGUUGUAUUGGGGAAAAUUUUGCCUAUGUUCAAAUUAAGACAAUUUGGUCCACUAUGCUUCGUUUAUAUGAAUUUGAUCUCAUUGAUGGAUACUUUCCCACUGUGAAUUAUACAACUAUGAUUCACACCCCUGAAAACCCAGUUAUCCGUUACAAACGAAGAUCAAAAUGAAAAAGGUUGCAAGGAACGAAUAUAUGUGAUUAUCACUGUAAGCCACAAAGGCAUUCGAAGAGAAUGAAGUGUACAAAACAACUCUUGUAGUUUACUGUUUUUUUAAGUGUGUAAUUCUAAAAGCCAGUUUAUGAUUUAGGAUUUUGUUAACUGAAUGGUUCUAUCAAAUAUAAUAGCAUUUGAAACAUUUUCUAAUAGUUAUGAUACUUAUACAUGUGCUUUCAGGAAGUUCCUUGGUGAAACAAUUGUUGAGGGGGGAUCUAGGUAAUUGGCAGAUUCUAAAUAAUAUAAUUUCCAGAUAGUAAUUUUAAGAGUACUCAUCGCUCUUGCCAAAUAAGUUCAGGGUAUUCAAAUCUUGGACUAGUCCUGCAAGGUAUAAAGAAUAAAAAUCCCAGUGAGAUACUUGGAAACCACAGUUUAUUAUUAUUUAUCUGGGCAAUUAUUGUGUGUGUGAGGAUGGAAGGGUAGGGAAUAAUCGAACAUCUAAAGCCUUGAAUAAGAGAAUACUAAUUGUUUUGGUAUGAUGAUACUCAGAAAUGGAGAUAUUAUAGGAAAAAGAAAUCCUUUGGAAUUUUAACUAAAAUCACUGCAUAUGGGAAAUUAAGAGAUCCAGGACCAUAUUUGAUAAGAGUUCCUAAAAAUAAUGUAAUUAUUAAUGCUAAAGACUGCUCAUGUAUCUUGAUCUAAUUACUAAAUAAUUACAUAUUUAUUUACCUGAUAAAUAUGUAUCUAGUUCUACAAGGUCACAUUUAUGUGGAAGUCCAAAGUCAAGUCCUUAGGGGAUAAUUUUGUUUUGGCUCAGUUGUUCCCUGCUUCCUUUUUUUUUUUUUUUUUUUGAGAUGGAGUCUCGCUCUGUUGCCCAGGCUGGAGUGCAGUGGUGCGAUCUCAGCUCACUGCAUCCUCUGCCUCCCGGGUUCAAGCAAUUCUCUGCCUCAGCCUCCCAAGUAGUUGGGAUUACAGGCACCUGCCACCAUGCCUGGCUAAUUUUUUGUAUUUUUAGUAGAGACGGGGGUUUCACUAUGUUGGCUAGGCUGGUCUUGAACUCCUGACCUCGUGAUCCACCCGCCUUGGCCUCCCAAAGUGCUGGGAUUACAGGCAUGAGCCACCGCACCUGGCCUUCCCUGCUUCCUCUCUAGAAUCCAAUUAGGGAUGUUUGUUACUACUCAUAUUGAUUAAAACAGUUAACAAACUUUUUUCUUUUUAAAAUGUGAGAUCAGUGAACUCUGGUUUUAAGAUAAUCUGAAACAAGGUCCUUGGGAGUAAUAAAAUUGGUCACAUUCUGUAAAGCACAUUCUGUUUAGGAAUCAACUUAUCUCAAAUUGUAACUCGGGGCCUAACUAUAUGAGAUGGCUGAAAAAAUACCACAUCGUCUGUUUUCACUAGGUGAUGCCAAAAUAUUUUGCUUUAUGUAUAUUACAGUUCUUUUUAAAACACUGGAAGACUCAUGUUAAACUCUAAUUGUGAAGGCAGAAUCUCUGCUAAUUUUUCAGAUUAAAAUUCUCUUUG
rnacentral:lncRNA from 1 species